rnacentral:rRNA from 1 species
GACGAACGCUGGCGGCGUGCUUAACACAUGCAAGUCGAACGGUGAAGCGCCUUCCUUUUUGGUGGGUGUGGAUGAGUGGCGAACGGGUGAGUAACACGUUAGCAACCUGCCCCCUUCUGCUGGAUAACCGCAUGAAAGUGUUGCUAAUACGGGAUAUUCUGAACCUGUCGCAUGAUGGGUCUGGGACAGAUAUUGUUUCGGUGGGGGAUGGGCUCGCGGCGUAUCAGCUUGUUGGUAGGGUGAUGGCCUACCAAGGCGGCGACGCGUAGCCGGCCUGAGAGGGUGGUGGGCGGCCCUGGAGGGGAGGCGACGCGCAGAAGCCUACGACGGGCAGCAGUAGGGGAGAUUACGGAACGGGGGGAGGACGGCUGAUGCAGCGCCGCGGGGUGGAGGAUGGUGGUCUGAGGGUUGUGCUCUGCUUUCGGGAGAGAACAAGGGCUGACUCGACUGUGGGUGGGUUGACGGUAGCUGGACAAAAAGCGCCGGCUAACUACGUG